CUUCUUCGAUCUGCUGCGGGCAGAUGAAGUGGAUGUGGGUGUCGAUGCCGCCGGCGGUGAGGAUCAUGCCUUCGCCAGCGAUCACUUCGGUGCUGGCGCCGAUGGCGAUGGUCACGUCAGGCUGGAUGUCGGGGUUGCCGGCCUUGCCAAUGGCCGCGAUGCGCCCGUCCUUGAGGCCGACGUCGGCCUUGACGAUCCCCCAGUGAUCGAUGAUCAGGGCAUUGGUGAUCAACGUGUCGACCACGUCGGCGGCCAGCAACUGGCCCUGGCCCAUGCCAUCGCGGAUG
rnacentral:sRNA from 1 species